UACGUAGGGUGCGAGCGUUGUCCGGAUUUAUUGGGCGUAAAGAGCUCGUAGGCGGCUCGUCACGUCGGAUGUGAAAACUCGGGGCUUAACUCCGAGCCUGCAUUCGAUACGGGCGAGCUAGAAUUCGGUAGGGGAGACUGGAAUUCCUGGUGUAGCGGUGAAAUGCGCAGAUAUCAGGAGGAACACCGAUGGCGAAGGCAGGUCUCUGGGCCGAUAUUGACGCUGAGGAGCGAAAGCGUGGGGAGCGAACAGGAUUAGAUACCCUGGUAGUCCACGCCGUAAACGGUGGGCGCUAGGUGUGGGGCACUUUCCACGUGCUCUGUGCCGCAGCUAACGCAUUAAGCGCCCCGCCUGGGGAGUACGGCCGCAAGGCUAAA
rnacentral:rRNA from 1 species